GGGUUAUAUCCCCCCACGAUGCCAAGAACAUGUUCAUCGAGUGUGCGUCAGCUACUCGAUGAUCAAAUGUGCAUCCAAUGACUAGCCCUCCACAGCUGAACUCGAAAGAACACCUUUUGUCUUAACUGGAACCAGUCUUCCCUCUACAGAAUCAUCAGGGUGGUAGAGAUCAAGAUCUUUAAGCUCUAGCUCAGCACAAGCAUGAACAAAUUCGACACCACAGUUAUUGCACAGAAUCUCCGGUUCACCUUGGCCGGUCUGAACGAUUUCUCCCGCAAGCGAAUAAAACGGGACCAGUGCUAAGCCAAGUGAUUUCUUGAUGAGACUGAUACUUUUUUCAGGAGGAAUUGAUUUCUUGUAGCAGAAGAAAACGCCAACGUCUAACGGUGGUAUGAGUAAGUCAAGGUUCGACAUGGGUAGCCUCAGGUUCUGCGCCGCGGUUGCAGCCUUGAUAAUGUCAGUUUGCUUCAAGCUCAAGGUGUACAUUCUGCCUGAACCCAUCGUAGAGAGUGUAUGUAUGUGUCUG
rnacentral:lncRNA from 1 species